rnacentral:rRNA from 1 species
CUGGGACUGAGACACGGCCCAGAUUCCUACGGGAGGCAGCAGUGGGGAAUUUUGGACAAUGGGCGAAAGCCUGAUCCAGCCAUGCCGCGUGCAGGAUGAAGGCCUUCGGGUUGUAAACUGCUUUUGUACGGAACGAAAAGGUUCUUUCUAAUAAAGAGAGCCCAUGACGGUACCGUAAGAAUAAGCACCGGCUAACUACGUGCCAGCAGCCGCGGUAAUACGUAGGGUGCAAGCGUUAAUCGGAAUUACUGGGCGUAAAGCGUGCGCAGGCGGUUAUAUAAGACAGAUGUGAAAUCCCCGGGCUCAACCUGGGAACUGCAUUAGUGACUGUAUAGCUAGAGUGCGGCAGAGGGGGAUGGAAUUCCGCGUGUAGCAGUGAAAUGCGUAGAUAUGCGGAGGAACACCGAUGGCGAAGGCAAUCCCCUGGGCCUGCACUGACGCUCAUGCACGAAAGCGUGGGGAGCAAACAGGAUUAGAUACCCUGGUAGUCCACGCCCUAAACGAUGUCAACUGGUUGUUGGGAAUUCACUUUCUCAGUAACGAAGCUAACGCGUGAAGUUGACCGCCUGGGGAGUACGGCCGCAAGGUUAAAACUCAAAGGAAUUGACGGGGACCCGCACAAGCGGUGGAUGAUGUGGUUUAAUUCGAUGCAACGCGAAAAACCUUACCCACCUUUGACAUGUAUGGAAGAUCGCAGAGACGCGAUUGUGCUCGAAAGAGAGCCAUAACACAGGUGCUGCAUGGCUGUCGUCAGCUCGUGUCGUGAGAUGUUGGGUUAAGUCCCGCAACGAGCGCAACCCUUGCCAUUAGUUGCUACAUUUAGUUGGGCACUCUAAUGGGACUGCCGGUGACAAACCGGAGGAAGGUGGGGAUGACGUCAAGUCCUCAUGGCCCUUAUAGGUGGGGCUACACACGUCAUACAAUGGCUGGUACAAAGGGUUGCCAACCCGCGAGGGGGAGCUAAUCCCAUAAAGCCAGUCGUAGUCCGGAUCGCAGUCUGCAACUCGACUGCGUGAAGUCGGAAUCGCUAGUAAUCGUGGAUCAGAAUGUCACGGUGAAUACGUUCCCGGGUCUUGUACACACCGCCCGUCACACCAUGGGAGCGGGUUCUGCCAGAAGUAGUUAGCCUAACCGCAAGGAGGGCGAUUACCACGGC